CACGUAGGCGGAUCAGAAAGUUGGGGGUGAAAUCCCCGCGCUUAACGUGGGCAUUGCAUUUGAAACUAUGUAGCUAGAGUUCUGUAGAGGGGGGUAGAAUUCCAGGUGUAGCGGUGAAAUGCGUAGAGAUCUGGAGGAAUACCGAUUGCGAAGGCAGCCCCCUGGACAGUGACUGACGCUCAUAUGCGAAAGCGUGGGGAUCAAACAGGAUUAGAUACCCCCGUA
rnacentral:rRNA from 1 species